rnacentral:rRNA from 1 species
UACGGAGGGUGCAAGCGUUAUCCGGAUUCACUGGGUUUAAAGGGUGCGUAGGCGGUUGGUAAGUCCGUGGUGAAAUCCCAAGCUUAACUUGGAACUGCCGUGGAUACUAUCAAUCUUGAAUAUCGUGGAGGUAAGCGGAAUAUGUCAUGUAGCGGUGAAAUGCUUAGAUAUGACAUAGAACACCUAUUGCGAAGCAGCUUACUACGCAUAUAUUGACGCUGAGGCACGAAAGCGUGGGGAUCAAACAGG